ACUUCCGUUGCCUAGCAGUAACGCGAAAUGCCGAUGGGAGUCAGGAAGUGGUUAGCAGCCGUCGGAGCAGAAACAUGACACAUAAGAGAAAUGCUCAAGGUAUGCGUUGUUUACGGUUGCUCUAACCGAUCAAACAGAGACAAGUCGACAGGUUUUUAUCGUUGAAACUGUCCAUCAGUUACUGGAUGAGAAUCAACACUACCUGAGUCUGCUGACUUCUCUGCUGCGUAACGCCACCCAGGAGAUGGAGCAGACGGAUCAGGACUGGAGCGGGACUUCCAUCCAGAGCAGCUGAAGCUGAACCCCAGAAGCCGUAGUAGAGACUGAUCAAAGAGCGCCACCGAUGUCAAGAGAUUAUGUCAUAAACAAGUGCCUUAUCAUCAGAGUAACAACCUAAAGCUUUGUGAUUCCAUACCGUCUUUAACAUCCAUGUGAAGCUGCAAGACAAUGUGUGAAGCAACCAGAUUUAGUAAGCUAUUCAUGUUCAACUUAAAUGUUUGUUAUUUAACUGUAAAAGCUAUUUCCAGCUGUAAGCAAGACUUCUUGUUGAUAUUUCUUGAAGGAAAACCCUGCUGCUGGUGAAGUAUGCAACGUGAAAUGUCAAUAAACGUUGUGAGUGUAUGUUUUA